rnacentral:rRNA from 1 species
UACGUAGGGUGCAAGCGUUGUCCGGAAUUAUUGGGCGUAAAGAGCUCGUAGGCGGUUUGUCGCGUCUGCUGUGAAAACUGGAGGCUCAACCUCCAGCCUGCAGUGGGUACGGGCGAGACUAGAGUGCAGAAGGGGCAACUGGAAUUCUCGGUGUAGCGGUGAAAUGCGUAGAUAUCGAGAGGAACACCUGCGGCGAAGGCGGGUUGCUGGGCUGACACUGACGCUGGAUGCGCGAAAGCUAGGGGAGCGAACGGGG